CUUGAGAAGAAUACACAUCAGCCAUGAUGAAGCAUGUUGAAAACAAACUUCUGAAAAUGACUCUUAUGAAGGACUAGCAAUGAGUACUUGGGCGGCAGAGUUUUGUUACAUCAAGAGCCUUGCAGAAAAACCUGGAGAAGCAAAGCGUCCCAGACAAUGCUAUGGAAGAUGGAUUUGCUGGAGACUGAUAAGAUCCGUCUUGGCACAAGGAAAUUGAUGGCAGCUCCUAACCUGCUUCUGUUGUGGAGGAUGUGGGCUUUGGCCAAAUCUUUCCAAAUAAGUGUAGCCAACUCUCAUGAAAUUGUUUUCCUUAAAGCCCCAGCUCCUGGGGUCAAGUGGAUAUAUGAUGAUUUCAGCCUUAAUUCUUAAAGAGAAAAAUCAAGGCUUCAUGAGAAACAUCAAUGCAAUGAACCAGAUGCUGGAUCAUCCAUUUUAAACAUCAUCUGCAGCUGUUUCCAAAAGCUCUGUGAGCUGCAAAGCUGCCUGGUUGUGAACUGGGGUUCUCUGGAGAUAUCAAGAUGGAAUUCCACAUCCUUUAUUACAGAAAGCCUUGUGUAGAAAGUGAUCAGAGACCACUGCUGUACUCAAACAGGACAGAGUCUGAGGGGAGCCUGUGAUUCAAAUUCUUGCAAGAAGAAGAGUAUAAAGAACAAAAAGAAAACAACACAUACCCCAGCAUGUCUUUAAUACAAAAUUCUUAAUUUCAACAAGAAAGCAAAUAGAAGCCUGCACCUUCUCCAUGGAAAAAACUUCUUAAAGGAAGGAAAGUUUGUGUGGCUUUCAUAAUCCGGUCUUGGGGAAUGUUUUAUUUUGUUCAUAUUUUACCUUAUCCCUGUUGGCUGCUUGUGAGAUCUGAUUGAAAAUUCCAUGAGCAGGUCACAUACCAGAAGGAAACUUAAAACUCUACCUUUUGGUUUUGCUGGCCUGACUGACUUUCCUCAUAAGGAUCCUGUUUGUUCUUUUUUAAUGCAAGUAGGAUCCUCUUGUAUAUAGAGUCAUAAAACAGUGAGUACAGGUUCUUCCACGGUACAAGUUCUUCAUGACUCUCCUCGUUCACUCAGAUUCUAAGAAUUCAAACAUUUUUGAACAUAUUGGAUUCUUUACCAGUUCCAGCCAUUGAUCUACUGCCAGUUUUCACUUCUCCAGCUCUGCUAAAAAAGCCAACUGUUCUGAGGUUCUGCCAUCAAGAAUCUGUACCUUGGCAUCCAAACUGAGUUGUGUGUUGUGCUCCAAAGCAAUCAAUUUAGUGGUCUAAGUACAGCACUGGGAGCCAGGAAUUCCUGCAUUCCAAUCUGCACUCUCAGAAGUUCUCUCUCUUGCCUUGGCCAAAUUACUUAGACAGAGAGGUUCAUUUUCCCCCAUAGCUACUGUAGAAAAGUAACCUACAUCAGACAUGUAGUGAGGAUUAAAUAAUAUUUUUAAAAUGCUUGAAAGAUAUUGUAUAUGUGCCAGUCCUUUAUUGACAUGGCUUCAGAUUUCAGCUGCAAUUGAGAAGAAUAACUUACACUCAAAUUACAGAGCUUAAAGAUUUGAUUUAUCACUGAUGGAGGUCGCCAUCAGAUCUUACCUCUUUUUAAAAAGGCAUUUGCCUUUCUUUCAGGGUAGUCAUGGCUCUAAGUCGGUAUGGGAGCUUUUUAGUCUAUAAGGCAGAGGUGGGCAAACUAGGGCCCGCAGGCCACAUCCAGCCCGUGGGACCAUCCUGCCCGGCCCCCGAGCUCCUGGCCUGGGAAGCUACCCCCCAGUUCCCCCGCUUGUCCUCCUUUCCCCGCAGCCUCCGCUCGCUUGCUCCGGCGCAAUGCUCUGGGCGGUGGGGCUGUGAGCUCCUGGGGCAGUGCAGUUGCAGAGCCCAGCCUGACCCAGUGCUCUGUGCUGCGUGGUAGCGGCGGCAGCGUGGCCCAGUUCCAGCUGGGCGGUGCGGCUGUAGCACCGCCAGCCACUGGCACUCCAGGCAGUGCGGUAAGGGGGCACAGAGCUGGGGGGUUGGA